GUCCAGACGGGCCUGCCUUGCCAAGGGAUGGGCCUGAAGCCCGGGCUGGGUCACCAGCCCUCCUUCCUUGGGGGGAGGGGGGCACUCGGUCCUCAUCCUGAUGGCCAGUCCCUGAGGGUGGUCACCGAGUCUCUCCAGCUCCCCAAGAUGUCCUGGUGGUGUCAUCCCCGGGGCCCACCUGCUUCUCCUGCAUUUCCUUCCAUCCUGAGCUCCCCCUCAGUCUGGAGACGAAGCCCCUUUCUGCUCAAGGCUGACAGAGCCCGCUUAAGUUGCUAACAACCACACAAACCCAACUAAAAUUGAAUGCCAAUCCUGGCUCUGCCCAGACUCGCUGUGUGACCCUGGGCAAGAUGGCCCCUCUCCGGGCCUCAGCUUCUCCACCUGCACGUCUAAGCUGGCCUCCAGUGCUGACACCCCAGGACCUCACGGCUGCUUUGGGCCACGGCAGCCCACUGGGUCUGGUGUGUCCACUGCCAUGGAUCGACUGAGGCCUUCUCUGCCCUGACCCUGAGGUCUCUGGGGCAUUUGGUAGAGGAGGGAAGACGGUGAGUGGGGAAUCCUUGGUUCUACCUCCUGCCAUGCGUAGUGGGGCCACGAGGAUCAAUGUACUGUGUACCAAGGCCUUGCUAAGGCGACUUCGCACCUCUCUUUAAGCCAUUAUGCCUCAAAGUUUCGAGAAUCUGGUGAAAGCUUUGGAUGCUCUCCCUAUACCAGACACAUCUCUCCACCCAUUCUCUCUCUCUCUCUCUCUCUCUCACACACACACACACACAUACACACACUCUAAUGUACAGUUUCAGGAAGAGGGCUAGGACCAGCCCUCCGACAUCUGUCCUGACCUUCAGGUGAGCAGCCUCUGGAUUUGGAGGACAGAUAACCAGCUUUGGCACACAGACAUUAGGGGCCAGGCCCUACACUAGGUGCUUUGUGAGCAUCAGUUUACACACCCAUUCAUUGUUUCCCUCUUGGGCACAGAGCUGGACUACACUUCCCAGCCUCCCUUGCAGCUAGGCACAGUCACAUGACUGCGUGCUGGCCAAUGGAACAUGAGCUGAGGUGAUGUGCUCCCCCCCCAACACUUUUAGCCUGGUCCACAGAAUUCCUUCCACACCAUCCUCCACACUCUCCCUUUCCCCUUUCACAAGAUUACUGCAGAGGAAGAUAAGGCCCUAAAACAUGCAGAGCCACAAGUUGAAGGAGCCUGGGUCCCUGAGUGACUGUGGGGAGCAGGACCCUGGCCCCUCCCCACCAGCCCACAUACACUGUAAUGUGAGCAAGAAAGACACUUUUUUUCUUUUUUUUUUCUUUUUUUGCUGAGAAAGAUUUGCCCUGAGCUAACAUCUGUUACUAAUCUUCCUCUUUUUUUUUUCCUCCCCAAGUUCCCAGUGCAUGGUUGUAUAUCCUAGUUGUAAAUCCUUCUAGUUCUUCUAUAUGAGCUGCCACCAGAGCGUGGCAACUGACAGACGAGUGGUGUGGUUCUGCAACAGGGAACCAAACCCGGGCCACCAAAGUAGAGCACGCCGAACUUUGACCACUAGGCCAUCAGGGCUGGCUCAAAUAAACUUUUCUUUGGGGGCUGUUUGUUACAUCCAUUAGCCCAUCCUGACGAUUGCAGCAUUUCUAUUACCCCCAUCCAGGGAGCUUCUCUUCGUUCUGAAGGAAUCCAUUUCAGGUCUCCUUUAAAAUAGCAAGUUUCCCCACUGGCUUCAGCCUGGGAUCCCUGAGGCUGGAGAGGGCCCAUGGCCGGCCCUGUGCUGGAGCCCACCUGAACUCAGGGCAUCUUCUCCAGGACCCCGAUUCACAGCCAAUAUGGGCUUCACGCCUGCACUCAGGCCCCUCCACCCCAGCUUGCCUCAUUUCAUUAUGUCUGUAGUCUGCCGUCUUCUUGUUCCAUCCUGUGGCCUCCCGUUACUUUGGCCGUUGCCUGGGGUCUGAAGACCAGCAUUCAGGGUCAGCUGUAUCUAUCUGUUUUUCUCCCUGACAAACAGCUUCUUGAGGGCGGGGCCUGGAGCUGGUUCACUGCUGAAGCUCCUCAUGAGCAGGCGGGGAGGGCUUCUGAAAUGCUGUGGUCUUUGUAGUUUCACAGCACGGACAGGCCUUGAGAGCACUGUUUCCAGAAUCCCGUUUUCUUGGGCACCUGGAUUCCAGAGGGAUAAGCUGGCCUCUGCCUAUGGCUCGGCUCCUAAAUGGGUUAUAACGGGGCUCCGGAGGGGAGGGGCCGGGAGUCUGGGUCUGAGCUGCCUCGCUCUGGUCCCGUUUCCCAGCCACAAACUGCACCCUGGCCCGGGCCCUACAUGCUGGGAGACUGCGAGACAGGUCAGUGCCCCUUACAUCCCCACCGUGGGCAACCCUUUCUCUGACUGCGCCCCAGAGGGAGCACGGGCCCCCACCUUUUUAAUAAUUCAGUCAGUCUCCAAACUACCUUUAGCCCUUUACAAAACCUUUUGCCCUCCAUUAUCUUCCCAAUAAUAAUAACAACAACAUUAACGCUAUUUCGGGGUAUGUGCCAGGCCCCAGGCUGGGCCACUUACAUCCUACAUCUCUCUGGGCCCUCACAGCAGCUCCUGGGGAUGGAUGCCAACAUCACCCCCAUUUGACAGAUGAGGAGGCCGAAGUUCCUGGAACCCCUCCCCAGCAGCCCCCAGCACCAGCUGUGAAGGCAGCGGCCGGGGUCUGGCCAGGCGGGUGUGUUCCGACAGACAGGGCCGCCCAGGACUGGGGCUCCCACUCCAGCAGUGGGAGAAAAGCCGUGGGAGAAGAGGAAGGUGAGGCCCUUGGGGCUCUGGGCAGCUCCCAGCGCCCCCACUCCUUGGCUCCUUUCCGUGGGUCCUUGCCCUCUGCCCAUGCCACCCGCUGGUUUGACCCCACCCUGGCCCUCAUUUCCUCUCUGGUUCCCACCAUCAGAAGCAUCUGCCGUGGGCCUGGCUGUUCGGUUUCUCCCGAGCAGACCCAGCAAGCGAUGCCUCUCUGAGGUUGUGUGCUCACUUUGCAAAACAGCAGAAAUUUAUAGCCCAAGUAAUUGAUCACGGUGCCUCCGCCUCCCUCCAUCUCUCUCUGUCUCCUAAUUCCCUUCUCCCUGCUCUCUUCUCUCUUUUUUCUCAGCGCGCCAUCUGUGGUGUCAGAGAAAAGGAAGCCAAGAAGUGGGGGGGGGGGGGGGGGGGGGGUUUAGUCCCAGUUCUGCCAAGUACGAGUCACAUGAACCUCAGUUUUCCCCUCCGCAAAGCGGAGACGUUAAUACCUGCUCACAGGUGCGCUGGGCUGGGCCCUGUGGGUGCUGGGGCUGUGAGGAGCCCCGUACAGUGUGACUUUACUCCCUAGGGCAAUCUGUGAGCUGGGGUGGCUCUCGGGCCUACCUUCCAGAUGGAGGCACUGGGCCCAGAGAGCUCAGGGCGUUCGCUCGGGCUCACAGAGGUGGUAAACAGCAGCCCUGGGCUUGAACCCUCGAUGGUGGUGCUGCAAAGCCCAAACCAUUAUGCUACACUGCCUCCCUUCCCGCCAGGGUCAAUCAGGACGGAGGUGACGGGCCAGGCCUCCCGAUCCCUAUGUCACUUCCUCCUGGGGCUCACCAUGGGGAAGAAAUGGAGGCUCUCGGGGCAAGGGGGAGUGCUUUGCCAACUGUAGAGUGCCGUGAUGAUGGGAGAAAACUUCACAGUCGUUUCCCUCCCUCGGCUAUCUGGGAGACUCUGGGCCCUAAGCACUUGCCUGGCCCUCAGAUUUCUCCUCUCCUUCCAGAGAGCCUGCGUGAACAGGGGCCUCCUACCAGCUGGGCCCCCACACCUGCUGGCCUCCUGGUACCUCCAGGGAGGUCCAUAGAACCUUCCAGAAUGACCCACAAAAGGACUCUGAAGAGUAUUUCACUCAUCCUUCAUGCCCUGCAUACCUGGCUGGAAAGCCCCCUCCGGACUCCCAGUCGAGUGCUCGCCCAGAACAGAAUUUUUGUUUCAUUCGGGGGGAGAAUUUUUCUAGGGGCCAGAGCUUGUCUUUUUCCUUCCACUCCCUUCUCUUUCCUCUUUUCAGUCUAGGUUUCUCACUGCUCCGGUAUGUCUCUCUCUCCAGCUGUCUCUCUGUCUCUGUCUCUGUCUCCCACCCUCCAGCCGCUGCGAUGACUCGCUUCCCUCCCCUGCGUGGCCGCAAGGCCAAGCCGAGCUCCCAUCGGGCUCCCUUAGCCUCCAAAGGCGCCUGUGCAGGCAGCACCUGCCUCCUGACCUUCCCACCGCAGCCCGGGGGCUGCACCUGGGGGGCAGCCGGGGCUUUGUUCCCCCCUUUCUGGAAGGACAGGACGCUCCAGCCCCUCCGGCUUCCUGCUCCCGCCUGGCUGGCGGAGUUGAGAGCCGGCUGCAGAGCUGGGAGCCAGGCAGCAGCAUACAGAACAAACAGAAUUUUUUUUUGCAACUAGAGGGGGAAGCACAGAGCUAAAAAUAAAACGAAAAGAUCAGUAUCUGUCAGUCUGACAGCUGAUUGGCUGCUCGGAGAUGCAUAUAAUUACCAGCAACUGGCGCUGGGUAGGCAAAGCCGGGAGAAACUGCUGAGACGAGUCAAGGACAACGAUGAUGCUUGCUCAGCUGCCAUCAGCCCCAGAGAUUCUGAACGGGCACAGUGGGUGGAGAUAAUCCCAGUUAGAGCGAAGAAGCCUGAUGUCGCAGGUAGCCCGUGGUGGCCUGGCCAGCAGUAAAGGGCAGCCCUGUUCGUUGUGGGAGGAGCCAGAGAGGUGUGAACACAGGAGGCAGGAAUCAUCGGAGAACAUCUUGCAGGCUGACUACCAAGCUCCAGGACACAGCUCGAUGCAGCUUGGAGGUCAUGCUGCCACUCAGAUGAGAAGCUCCGGAUCACAGGGAGCUUCUCCCACCUGAAGGCAAAGGCCCCCAGCCCUGGCUGGCUGCUCAAUCAAGCCUAGAGUUUCAGAGAGGAUGCCAGCUCUCUUCAGGCUGGGCACACCUGCCCCCCACCCCCACCCCAGCACUGCCCCCUGCCCUGCGUGUCCUGGGGACCUGGUCACCUCCAUUCCUUGCCUCCAGGAGCGUGGAGUGAAUAAUGAAGGCCAGACUCAGCGGCUUCUGGAAAGACCACCCUUCCUCCUUCUGGUUCCCUUCAAGGAAGGACCUUCAUGGCCCCCAAGUACCACAAAUCCUAGGCUGAGCCUGGGCACAGAGCGGAUUUCCCUCUCUGGGCACACACCUAUGGGGGGCGGGGGUGGGGAGCAGCAUUCCCCUCCGCUGCAGAAGGAGCUCCAUCUAUGUUGGCAACCCGAUUCGAAUCCCGGUUCCACCACCUUCAAGCUUCGUGGCUGCAGCACCUCUUUCUGAGCCUCAGUUUCCCCAUCUGGAGAGUGGAAUUCAGAGUGGGGGGGGUGGAGCGGGCAGCAUGGUCUGGUUCUGCCGAGGCUCCGGGCCACUUGCCCUUCCUGGUCCCACAGAUGUUCAGCCCAUUCGGGGCAUGCUCGGGUGCCCCCCUCCCGGCCCUGGGCUUUGCCUGAGCUGCAAAGGAUGAUGGGAUGGGAGCCCUCAGAGGUGCCGCCUUGGCCGCAUCUCGCUGGAACCACAGUGGAGCUCCUGGGCCAUGUCUGGAGGGCGGGGUAGGUGAUCCUCGUGGGCUGGAAGCUCCUGUGAGAAUACCCCAUUUACAGGUGAGGGGGCUCGCAGGGGGAGUGGCCGGCCAAGCCCUGCGACAUAGAGAGAUUUUAACCUGGAGAACCACGCCAGUAACACCAAGGGCCCUCCUACACUCUGCUCUGCCCCCAUUUACCUGAGUCCUUACUGCGUGCCAGGCAAUCACUGACCUACUUUAAUCCAACAACAGCCUAAGAGGAGGGUAUAUUGAUCCCCAAUUUUUAGGAAACAGAGAGGUUGAUGCACUUGCUCAAGGUCACACAGUUUGCAAAGAGUGGAACCUGACUUUGAACUCAGGCCACCUGCCUCCAGAGCCUGUGCUCUUGGCCAAUCUCCUCUGCCCCCGGCUUGGGAUCCAAGCUCUGUAGAGAGGGCCGGGGCCACCUGGGGUUAGCCGCUUAAGCCCCAGAGGCCCAGAGUGAGGGAAAAAUCUCCAGCACCCCGCGGGUCCGCGAGGGCUGUGCGGUCAUCACUACCACCGGGUGCAGGGAGCUCAGAGGGGCCAAGCCUCUGACUCUAGGGAGCGCAGCCGGCUCCGCGCCCCCUGGCUCCCUGUCCAGGGGCUCCACAGAGGCCGUGGUCGGAAGGACCCCCAAGCCAGCUGGGUCCCCUGACAGACGGACAGAGGACCUCUCUCCACACGCAGCCUCCCGCCCCGGGGAUGCGGGCAGCGCGGCCUGCCACCUCCUCCGGAGCAGGUUUCCUUUAAGACGGCAGAAGAUUGAUUUCCUGGCAGGCUGCGCGCGAGGAGCGUCCACGCGGUUUGCAUGUCUGCAUUUUUACGGCUCCGUUUAAUAUGUAUGCAAAUACCCGCCGCCGCCGCCGCCGCGCACGCGGCCGUCCCGGCCCGGCGCUGGGAGGCCUGAUAGAUGGGGCGGGACGGAGACAAAUGACGGGCUUUUCUAAUUUCUUUCUCUUUUCCGGAGGCUGGGGAGAGGGGGGCUCAAGACUGGAAACCACAGAGGAGAUUUAAAUAUAUGCAAAAUUGUUGUGGGUUGGGGCGGGGUCUGGAAACCUGAGCCGGGAGGAGAGCAUUCCGUGUUUUCCUCGGUGGCAGUCGCGCAGGAGGUGGCCCAGCCCCCUGAGACCCCUGUCACCUCCGGCGGAGGGAGCGGCUUUGCUCCGGAGAAGCCGACUGCUUCCUCGGGAAGCGCAGCCUCAGCGCAGAAAGAAGGAAAAUGCGGGUUCUUUUCGGCCCCAUCCGCCAGGAGGCCGCUGCGUGUGUCCAUCGCACCCCCACUUAUUUCGUUGGGCUUCCAGAGCUUAUAACUUUAUAGGUGUGAUGUCACUUAACUCUCACGGUUGCCCUAGGAGGUACAUCACACCCAUUGUACAGAUAGGGAAACUGAGGCUCGCAAGAGUAAGGUCCUUGGGGAGAGUUGCAGAGGGAGGUGGGGGGAUGCACUCCCAGAACCGCAGCCCUCAGCCAUCUCCAGCUCUGUGGGGUGUGCUCCCAGCUAUGGGGGGUGGGGCGGGCGCGGAAUGUGCCCAGACUAACCCCCAACACACAACCCAUGCUCCCCCAUCCCACCUGCCCCACCUGCCCCCACCUGCCUGACUCAGACUGAGCCUGCAUCACAUAAGCCCGCAUCAGAUGGGGCCUGAGACUGAGCCCCAAAUUUUCAAAAUAUUAUUUAGGCCUAAAAUUUGAGGUGUAGUUUUAAUGGAAUCUUUCCUAAUUUCUGAGGAUUUCAGGUGACGGACGGGGUAGCUGGGGGCAGCCUGGAGAGUCCUGUGAGGACGGAAACGUUUCACAGAGGGGGCGCCAGCCUAGAGAGGGGGCUUCUGGAGCAGACAGCUCAGGCCCUCUGGGGACCCGAGUCCACGUUUGUGUGGAGUGUAUGUGUCAGUGUGUGUGUGAGGCUGGGAUUGUGUGUCCGUGCACACACGUGUGUGUCAGUGAGCGUGUGCAUCGAGGUGGCAGCAGCUGAGACCGCCAUACUGGCAGCUGGCAUGCGAAUUUCCCUGCGGGCUCCCAUCCCCGUGGGGUUUGGGCCUCCUGUCUCCCCCACCCCCACCCGAACCUGCUCCCCUCUCCAGGGAAGCCUGUGCUGCUUCAGCUGCAGAACGGGGGUAGGACGGGGGCUGGGGACUUGAGAAGACUGAGGCACCCCUAAAGGUCUGCAGCCAUGAGGAGGACUUGGUUAUGGGGGAUGGGGUGUAGCCUGUUGCCUGAGAACUCUGGGCAGGAAACGAGGGGCGCGCAGCUCCCCCAGGAAGCUCUCCCUGUGUGUACAUGUGUGUGCAUGUGUGCAUGAGUGUGGCGAUCCAGACUAGCAUAUGUCCAUUCAUAAAAUGCUCCUCCUCCCCACCCUCUCCCUCCCCCACCCCCACCCCUUCUCUCUCCCACCUCCACCCUCACCCCUCCUGCCUCUCCCACCCCUACCCUUCUUCCCAUCUCUCAGGUUCACCCCGCCCUGGAGUGCCAUGAGCCAUCUCUCCUGGAGUCUCCCCCCUCCCUGCCCUCCUCCCCCCUUCCCUGCCCCUUCCCCCGACUCCCCACCUCUCCCCUCCCACAUAGGUGUUUGUUUGUUUCCUUCUGUCCACUGUCGUCUCCCCCACAGGAAUGUGAGCCCCAUGAGAACCUUGAAAUGGGGUGCUCAGCACCCCUCUGAUGUCUGGGAGCAUCUCGGGACCCCUCCCCUGCCCAGGCCGAGCUCCUUCUCCAGGCUCAGGUCUUCUCUGGUGGGGCUCCUGCACCCCGGUGUCCAUGGAGCCCACCCAGACAGGGACCCAAGUCCCAUGCCCUCCCUCGCCUCGCCUACGUCUUGGGACAGUCCCCCUUCUUCAGGCCUCCUCAGGGUGUCCCCUUCCUGAGCUGGCCUGAGCCACCAUCCCGGCACCCACAGUGCUGAGAGCGAUUGUCACUGGAGCCUAUUGGCGUCAGCACGGCAAGAAAGUCCUUUCCAUGAGAACCGCUGUGAGUGGACAUCAACGCGGCCCCUCUGAACCCCUGCUCCCCUGGGGGCCUCUGAAGCGUCCUGUAAAGCCAGCCCCGCCACCCAGAGGCCCGAGGGUGGUGAGCCCAGGGGAGAGUGGAGCCCUGGGUCUCCCUGGAAGUGAUGACUGUGUAAUUCUUGUUCUCACCUGCCCCUGCUGCAGGAGGGCGGCACUGGGUCUGCGCUGGGCCUCCCGCACCCCGGCCGGCCGCACACACAUUCGCUCUGCAAAUAGCUGUCGAAACAGACAAGUGGCAGGUGGCGGCCUCCACAAAGGCAUGGGCUUUGUGACAUAUCUGGCGGGGACUCCAGUCGGUGGCCCCCUUGGAGUCUGCACCUUCGCUCCCUAGCUGGUUGGGGGCAAGGGGGCUGCUGUGUGUGGACUGGCUGAGUCAGGACCCAGCCCUGGGCCCGGGGCCACCACGGCUCUCGCUGAUCUUGCUGACGGGGCUGAAAAUGCGUCUGCGCGGCCCUCUGCAACCUGCCAUUACUCACGGUCGGUGUUUAGCCCCAAGCCAGGGGUGACCGGCGGACCGGCAGGAGGCUCGGUGUGUGCUGAAGGAGGGACGGCCCGAGGCUGGGCUGCGAGAGGCACAGCGGGAACCGUGGGCAGCUGCUCAGAGCGCCGUGACCAUGUUUUUCUGAGCUGAAAAAUUAGGACACGGGAGGUAGCUGAGGGUUUUCUCAGAUUUGUUCAUUCAAUGCGUGGAAAAGUCUUACAGAGGUAUGAAAGUUGAAGCUUAUUUGGUUAUAUAAGUAAUGGAUUGUCUUUGUUGAAAAGAAUCUGAGUUUCCAAAAUCAGGGAGAUUCUGGGAAUCAGUCAGUCAACAUGACUCACAUUCUGGGGGCACCCGGGUCAGCCCUGUCCUUGGUCCUUGCACUGUGACAGGGAGUGUGAACCUGGCCUCACAGAGCUCUUGUGGGGAGGCUGACGUUGCUCCAAUAAUUUCACAAUUCAGUACUGUGAGCACCUGUAGGCACCGUUCGAGCAUUUAGGGCUGUGAGGGCCCAGGGCACCCAUGUGGACCGGGGCUGGGAUGUCCAGGAAGAAGCGCAUUUCAGGCAGGAGGAAGAGCAUGUGCAGAGGGCCUGUGGCAGAAAAAAGUGUUGGGUGUUUGCGGAACAGGAGGCAGCCCAGGUGACUGGAAUGUGACCAGUGAGGGAAGAGGAGGUUGGACAUGUCAGCAGGGGCCAGUCCAGACAGUGCCCACGAGCCCAUAAGAGUGUGGUAGACUUUUUCCUGCCAGCAAUGGGGAGCCAUGGACUGUUUGACACAGGCGUGACCUGGUCAUGCUUCUUGAUGUUGAUGAGAAGGAGGAGGAUGAUGAUGUUGGUGAUUAUACGCAGUGCUUCGUGAGCGCUGACCAUGCGCCAAGCACCAUUUCAGCCGUUUUACAGAUGAGAAAACGGGGGGGUUGGGAGGGGAAGUGACUUAUCUAAGGCCACACAGCUGGUGAACGGCAAAGAUGGAACUCGGACUGAGUCUGUCUGGAUCCUAAGUCCCUGCUCGCAUCCCACACACAAAGCUGCCCUUGUCCGGAAGUGGAAGGCCAGGGGGCGUGCAGAUCACCCCACUUCCUGCUGCGCUGUGGGGCCGCGUCCUCUCUGCUCGGUGUCCCAGGCCUGGGUGGGAACUGACAGUCACAGGGUCAGCUUGGGCUGGAAAGGCCCAGCUCAGUUCCUCCUCAGGCCCAGCGGGGGAAGUUGGGCUUGCAACAUCCCACGGCAGCUGAGGUUCUGGAGAAGUUGGGAUCCCAGCCUGUCCGCUGGGGCACGGGUCACACUGCAGCCCCGGGAGCACAGGCCCAGUCACCUGUUUGGGAGCCGAGGACUUUGAGCUGCGGCUACAGCAUCCCUCCCGAGUAGCACAGCACCCCGGCCCCUGCUCCCUCCCGUGGAAACAGACCUAGGUGUCUGCACCACUCUAGACUCACCGGUGGCAUUUAAAAAAUCCUGCUUCCCUUGUUGAUCAUCAGGGAAACGCAAACCAAAACCACAGUGAGACCCCACCUCGCACCUGUUAGGAUGGCUACUGUCAAAACCCAGAAAGUAACAAGUGUUGGCGAGGAUGUGGAGAAAUUGGGAGCUCGUACAGUGUUGGUGGGAAUGUCAAAUGGUGCAGCCGCUACGGAAAACAGUAUGGAGUUUCUCCAAAAAAUUAAAAAUAGAAUCACCAUAUGAUCCAGCAAUUCCACUUUUGGGUAUGUAUCCAAAAGAAUUGAAAGCUAUAUGCGCGCCCGUGUUCACUGCAGCAUCAUUCACAAUAGCCCAAAGGGGGGGAGUCACCCAACAGUCCAUCAACAGAUGAAGGGACCAACAAAACGUGGUGUAGAGUAUACAUUACAGCGGAGUACCAGUCAGCCUCAAAAAGGAAGGAAAUUCUGACACUCGCUUCAGGACGGGUGAACCUUGAGGACACGUGCUAAGUGAAAUAAGCCCGACACAAAAGGACAAAUACUGUAUGAUUCCACUUAUAUUAGGUACUCAGAAUGGGCAAACUCACAGAGAGGAGAACAAAGGAGAAGGUUGGAUGCCAAGACCUGGGCUGUGAGGGCGGGGGGGAGGGGCAGGAUGGAGAGCUUUGUUUAAUGGGUACAGAGUUUCUCAAGAUAAAAAGAGUUCUGGAAGGGCUGGCCCCACAGCGUAGUGCUUAAGUCCGUGUGCUCCGUUCUGCGGCUGGGGUUCCUGGGUUCAGAUCCCGGAUGUGGACCUGGCACCGUUCAUUAAGCCAUGCUGUGUUGGCAUCCCACAUAAAAUAGAGGAAGAUGGGCACAGAUGUUAGCUCAGCGACAAUCUUCCUCGAGCAAAAAGAGGAAGAUUGGCAACAGAAGUUAGCUCAGGGCCAGUCUUCCUCACACACACAGAAAGAGUUCUGGAGACGGAUGGUGGUGAUGGUUGCACAAGAAUGUGACUGUACGUUAUGCCACUGAACUGUACGCUUAAAAAUGGUUACGAUGGCAAAUUUAAAAAAAAUCGUAUUCUAAGUUCUCUCAAGUUGUCAACAGUGGGCUUUCUUUUAAGUUGCAUUUACAAGAAAUAAAUUAAAAUAUCAGAUGGGAGUUGUCAUUAGAGCAGUUAAGAAUCACAGAUGCCGUAUUCCCGGGCAAGUGUCCUCCCCUCCCGGAGCCUGAGUUUCCUCACGGGGUAAUGGGGAUGAUGAUGGUGCCUCCCUCUGGGGCCACUGCGAGGAUUCCAUGAUGCCUGCAAGGUGGUCCAGCGGAGGCCGGCGUCCAGGAAGCACUCAGCACCCAGCAGUCCUUAGUCCUGGCAGAUAUGCCCCAGGCGUGUGGGGUUUGGGAACAGGAGCAGCACAGGCCCUAGUCAGAGGAGAAAAGACCCCUUGCCUGACAGUACACCUGGGGAAACUGAGGCCUGGAGGAGUCAAGAGACUUGUCCAAGGUCUCUGGGCUUCCCUUGAACCAGAAUGUGGUUUUCCACGUCUGUAUCGGUGAGCAAGGCUCGGUUGUGCUGCGUAACGAGCGAGCCCCACAUCGCAGUGUCUCACACAGCACAAGUCUGUUCUGCAUCCAGCAAAGUCUGCCGUGGGUCCAGGAGCUUCUCCAGGGCAACUGCCCUCCACGCGAAGGCCCAGGGAUCCAGGCUGCCUCCCGCUGGUGGCGCCUCCAUCUCUGGGUCCCCGAGGCAGGGAAAGAGCAUCACGUCCCUGCCUCCCACACUCCACUGGCCAGCACCAGUCACAUGGCUUCACCCCACGCCUGAGACGGAGAGGAGAACCAUGGGUAAGCCCCGGAAGUUUCUUCUCACCAUGCGAGUGGGACGAAGGCCAGUGGACAGCUGUCUCCAGGACAUGCUCACAGUGAACUGAGUCAGAGAGAAAAGGGUUUGAGGCUGGAAUGACUCCCCCUCCUACCCAAGCCCCCCGCUCCUUCCCAGAGCAGCCACGGUGAGCCGCGCUAACGGCCGGUUUACAAGCAGGGGUGUUGACGUGCCUUGUGGACAUACAGUUGUUCUCGGCCACUCCUUGAAGAAGCCGGCGGGGGUCUGUCCAGCCUCUUGCUCUCCCACCUGGCGGUGCCUCCACCUGUACGUAAUCAGUGCCCCCGAUGGGUGUCCAGGCCGUUUGCAAAGUUCUGCUAUUAUAAACAGUGAUGCAAUGAAUUUCCUGCACGUUUUCCCUUGUCACCCAUGUAAGUGUUUCUGUGGUGUAAAUUCCUAAAAAUGGAAUCGCUUGGUCAGAGGGCAGGUGCAGCGAGCAGUCUGACAGCUUUCCAGCGGCAGGGGCUGCUCCAGGGUCAGAAGGAGCUUUUAAGAAGUGUUGCUAAUGGAGCCGAGACCUGCCACUCUUGCUGUGCCCAUUUUAUAGAUAGCAAACCCCGAGUUCCAGAGAGGUUGAUUCACUUGCCUGAAGCUGCCCAGCAAGCAGCGUUUGAACCCCGGUCCCAGCCUGGGUGGAGUCCUCUUGGGUUCCAGGAUCCCAGCUCCCUGCUGGACACCUCACGGAUCCUUUCUUUACUGGUCCCUCUCAAAGGCUCUCAUGUUCCCCCCAGAGCUUUCUUUUGGCGAGUUUCUGAAACUCGUCUUCCCUUCCUCGCGUCUAGUGCUUCGGCUCCUCCAGUGGCAGAACCAUCCGCCUGUUACUUUUCUCCUUUGUUGUUUUCAUCUCUGCUCCAUCUCUUUGCAAGAGCAUCUCGGUUUUUGACCACCGUUAGUCUCAUUGAUUUUCAAAUUUUCUUUCUUUUUGGGGUAACGUCCCUUUUGUUCCUGGAAAAAGACGAUACACCUUCAUUGUAAAAUAAAUAAAUAAAUUCAAGCAACACUGGAAACCACAAGCAAGAAGAUGAAAAUCACCAACGCCCCUCACCCACAGAUGACUAUGGUUAACGUUUGGUUGCCUGUCCUUCUGCAGAUUCUAAACAUUUAAUGUUUUGAGCCAGCCCUGACAGCCUAGUGGUUAAAGUUCAGCACACUCUGCUUUGGUGGCCCCAGUUCGGUUCCCGGGUGCCAAACCACACCACUUGUCUGUCAGUAGCCAUGCUGUGGCGGUGGCUGACACUGAAGAACCAGAGAGACUUACAGCUAUCCACAACUAUGUACCGGGGCUUUGAGGGGGUGGAGAGGAAGAAAAAAGGAGGAAGAUUGGCAACAGAUGUUAGCUUAGGGCAAAUCUUCUCCUGCAGAAAAAUAAAAAAUAAAUAAGUAAUUUAGAAUUUUAUUCUAAACAUUUCUAACCACCCACUCUAAUGGUAAUGAUAAGGAAAAUCUCUACCUUUCUCCCUAAAGGUGGGGUGUAUGAAUCACCAGACAUGAGUUCCCUCCCCUCCAGUGCCAUCACUGCCCACACCUUUGCCUGGGCCUCUGCUGCUGCUUCUGCUCCCAGGUUGGAAGCUGCUGUUCCAGCUCCAGGGAGCAGACCCUGCAGGGCCGGCACCAGCUAACUGGUGAAAAUGGUUUCCCCACCUCCAAAGAGAUUCCACCCACUCGCUCACACUCAGGGAGCAGGAAUCUCACCCCUCACCUGCCGGACACCGAGAGGCUGAAACCCAGGCCGGUGUGUGUCUCCAGCUUGUGGAAAGGCAAGUUGGUGUCUCUCUGCUGUGUCCUCUCUCCCACCGCCACCCACUGUCGGCAACACUGACUUUGUAAGCGCAGAGCUGACGCUGGCCUGGGCCUGGGUGGUUGGACAACCCCAGGCGGUUUCCAUCGGGCCCUCCUCCUGGGGGGCCCUUCACCUCUCGGGAAGAAGGGGCCGCAGUGGCCUGGCCUGAUUUCCCUGGGAUGAGGCAUGACUUGGGGGUGGCCUGGUGGCGCUGGCUCCAGAACCCAGCCCAGCACAGACGUGAGGGGGAGAUGUAAGGGAGUGGGACGAUGGGGACCCUCAGGACCCUGCUUUGGGGCCUGUUGGAGACACAGGGCUCUGGCACUUUGGGGACAACAUCCACUGGGGAGUGGCAAACACAGCUGUCACUCCCCGUGGGGGCAGCAGGGGCCCCUGGCUGAGGGGGGGAGUGUGCGUGGAGGGCAUGGCUGUGCCCACAGCAUGGGCAGCUCUGCUCAGACACCAUGGCUGUCUCCGGCAGCCACUCCUCAGACCUGUUCUCAGAUCUGUUCUCGAGCGUCUGUGAGUCCUCCCCCCCAGGGGCCCAAAGAAACCCCUGGGGACAGCUUGACACUGAUGGUGAGUGAGAGCCGAUGGCACGCAGUAGGUGACUGUGCUGCAUCCUCAGGGGAGGGUGGUGGUUGUCAGGAGCGUGGUUUUGGAGUCAGACAGACCCAAGAGUGUCCUAGGUGAGCCUCGUACUGGCUGUGUGACCUUGGGCAAAUUAGUUAAGGUCUCUGGGCCCCAGCUUCCUCAUCCACACUGUGGGUACAGCAGCAUCCACUUGGCGGGCCCAUUUUGGGGACUGAAGGCAAUGACCCUGUGAAGCGUUCUGGGCCUGGCGAGUCCUCCCAGAGCCCUCCCUAAGUUGAGCUUCUGUUUUUGUUCGCGCUUGGGGUGGUGGCUGGCGGGAAGUUGCGUAAGGGGGGCACUUCAGGAAGCUGCAAUCCACUGACCCAAACGGCUCCUAAUGAGUCACAACAGUGGGUUUCAAACUGGGUUUUUUACACCCACCUUCCUGUCUCAACCGUGUGCCUUAUUCUUUCUCAAAAUAAAUCUUAGUGAUCGAUACUGCGCCAAGCGGGUGACAGCUGAGGGCCCACUCACCUGGCCCUCUUCACCCCCGCCCCCAAGGCCCCCUGGGGUCUACACAGGCUUGAAAGCCACUGCUUUAGGCCAGCCAGGGUGUCACUGGCUGUAGGAAGUAGAGGUGGCAGAUAGAUAUACCGGGAGGGGAGAGUCAUUUUCCCAACAGAUUUCUCACUGGGCUUAUGUAAAAACACGGAAAGAAGAGAAGUCUUCAGAUCAGGGACUGGCGUUUCUGAGGCUCCUGGAGGGCCUGAGCUCACUAAGCUGGGACAGCCCUGACUCCGAGGGCCCACCUUCCUGCCAGGUGGCAGUGACGUGGCCUAGGAUGUUCCUGUGGGAAGCACGAGGAGCUGAGCGAGGACACCCUCUGUGUAGCCAAAGCCAGACCGGGCCAGAACCCCCAUCAGCCACCGGCCGGCCGCCUGACCUGGGGCGAGUCCUGGCUCAGAGCCUCAGUGUCCUCAUCUGUAAAAUGGGGCUGCCUCUCUGGGCCCCGGACAGAGGGAUGUGGGAGGACGCAAGGAGCUGGCGGCUCCAGCAUGCCGGGCAGCUU
rnacentral:lncRNA from 1 species